rnacentral:rRNA from 1 species
GAGUUUGAUCCUGGCUCAGGACGAACGCUGGCGGCGUGCUUAACACAUGCAAGUCGAACGGAAAGGCCCUUCGGGGUACUCGAGUGGCGAACGGGUGAGUAACACGUGGGUGAUCUGCCCUGCACUUUGGGAUAAGCCUGGGAAACUGGGUCUAAUACCGAAUACACCUCAUGGGCUGCAUGGUUUGUGGGGGAAAGCUUUUGCGGUGUGGGAUGGGCCCGCGGCCUAUCAGCUUGUUGGUGGGGUGAUGGCCUACCAAGGCGACGACGGGUAGCCGGCCUGAGAGGGUGUCCGGCCACACUGGGACUGAGAUACGGCCCAGACUCCUACGGGAGGCAGCAGUGGGGAAUAUUGCACAAUGGGCGCAAGCCUGAUGCAGCGACGCCGCGUGGGGGAUGACGGCCUUCGGGUUGUAAACCUCUUUCAGCACAGACGAAGCGCAAGUGACGGUAUGUGCAGAAGAAGCACCGGCCAGCUACGUGCCAGCAGCCGCGGUAAUACGUAGGGUGCGAGCGUUGUCCGGAAUUACUGGGCGUAAAGAGCUCGUAGGUGGUUUGUCGCGUUGUUCGUGAAAACCGGGGGCUUAACCCUCGGCGUGCGGGCGAUACGGGCAGACUGGAGUACUGCAGGGGAGACUGGAAUUCCUGGUGUAGCGGUGGAAUGCGCAGAUAUCAGGAGGAACACCGGUGGCGAAGGCGGGUCUCUGGGCAGUAACUGACGCUGAGGAGCGAAAGCGUGGGGAGCGAACAGGAUUAGAUACCCUGGUAGUCCACGCCGUAAA